rnacentral:rRNA from 1 species
CAGUAGCCGCGGGAAUACCGAGGGUGCGAGCGUUAAUCGGAUUUACUGGGCGUAAAGCGUGCGUAGGCGGCUUCUUAAGUCGGAUGUGAAAUCCCUGAGCUUAACUUAGGAAUUGCAUUCGAUACUGGGAAGCUAGAGUAUGGGAGAGGAUGGUAGAAUUUCAGGUGUAGCGGUGAAAUGCGUAGAGAUCUGGAGGAAUACCGAUGGCGAAGGCAGCCAUCUGGCCUAAUACUGACGCUGAGGUACGAAAGCAUGGGGAGCAAACAGGAUUAGAGACCCGUGUAGUCCCUGUCUUUAUACC